CCCUUAGAGUUUGAUCCUGGCUCAGGACGAACGCUGGCGGCGUGCUUAACACAUGCAAGUCAAGGGGGCCCAGCAAUGGGCAACCGGCGAACGGGUGCGUAACACGUGAGCAACCUACCGAAAUGCGGGGGAUAGCCGGCCUAACGGCCGAGUAAUACCGCAUACGCUCUCAGUGAGGCAUUUCAUUGAGAGGAAACCUACGGGGUAUUUCGAGGGGCUCGCGGCCUAUCAGCUAGUUGGCGAGGUAACGGCUCACCAAGGCAACGACGGGUAGCUGGUCUGAGAGGAUGGCCAGCCACAUUGGGACUGAGAUACGGCCCAGACUCCUACGGGAGGCAGCAGUGGGGAAUCUUGCGCAAUGGCCUAACGGCUGACGCAGCGACGCCGCGUGUGGGAUGAAGCUCCUCGGAGUGUAAACCACUGUUGCCCGGGACGAAUAGCUCGAUUAAUCGAGCCUGACGGUACCGGGUGAGGAAGCACCGGCUAACUCCGUGCCAGCAGCCGCGGUAAUACGGGGGGUGCGAGCGUUGUCCGGAAUCACUGGGCGUAAAGGGCGCGUAGGUGGUUUGAUAAGGGUGUGGUGAAAGUCCGGGGCUCAACCCCGGAUCUGCCGUGCCGACUGUCAAACU
rnacentral:rRNA from 1 species